GUGCAGCAGUCGCGAAUUUUCUCAAUGGGGCAACCCUGAAGGAGCGACGCCGCGUGGAGGAUGAAGGCUUUCGGGUUGUAAACUCCUGUCAUUUGAGAACAAGCGUGAGCAAGUAACUACUGCUCAUUUGAUAGUAUCAGAAGAGGAAGGGACGGCUAACUCUGUGCCAGCAGCCGCGGUAAUACAGAGGUCCCAAGCGUUGUUCGGAUUCAUUGGGCGUAAAGGGUGCGUAGGUGGCGCCGUAAGUGGGGUGUGAAUUUCGGAGCUUAACUCCGAACUGCAUUCCAUACUGCGGUGCUUGAGGACUGGAGAGGAGACUGGAAUUCAUGGUGUAGCAGUGAAAUGCGUAGAGAUCAUGAGGAAGACCAGUGGCGAAGGCGGGUCUCUGGACAGUUCCUGACACUGAGGCACGAAGGCUAGGGGAGCAAACGGGAUUAGAUACCCCUGUAGU
rnacentral:rRNA from 1 species